rnacentral:rRNA from 1 species
UACGUAGGGUGCAAGCGUUAAUCGGAAUUACUGGGCGUAAAGCGUGCGUAGGCGGUGAUUUAAGUCUGCUGUGAAAUCCCCGGGCUCAACCUGGGAAUGGCAGUGGAUACUGGAUCGCUAGAGUGUGAUAGAGGAUGGUGGAAUUCCCGGUGUAGCGGUGAAAUGCGUAGAGAUCGGGAGGAACAUCAGUGGCGAAGGCGGCCAUCUGGAUCAACACUGACGCUGAGGCACGAAAGCGUGGGGAGCAAACAGGG